UGUGCCAGCAGCCGCGGUAAUACGUAAGGUCCGAGCGUUGUCCGGAAUCAUUGGGCGUAAAGGGUACGUAGGCGGAUAAGCAAGUUAGAAGUGAAAUCCUAUAGCUCAACUAUAGUAAGCUUUUAAAACUGCUCAUCUUGAGGUAUGGAAGGGAAAGUGGAAUUCCUAGUGUAGCGGUGAAAUGCGCAGAUAUUAGGAGGAAUACCGGUGGCGAAGGCGACUUUCUGGCCAUAAACUGACGCUGAGGUACGA
rnacentral:rRNA from 1 species